rnacentral:rRNA from 1 species
UAUCUCUGUAGAGUCUGCAUAUCAAUAAGCGGAGGAAAAGAAACUAACUAGGAUUCCCUCAGUAACGGCGAGUGAAGCGGGAAGAGCUCAAAUUUGAAAUCUUCAAGGUUCUACCUUGACGAAUUGUAGUUUAAAGAAGUGUUUUCUGUUGGAGUUUUGGUAAAAGUUCUUUGGAAUAGGACAUCAUAGAGGGUGAGAAUCCCGUAUUUGACUUAUUCAUUCUAGCUUUGUGAUACACUCUCAAAGAGUCGGAUUGUUUGGGAAUGCAGUCCAAAAUGGGUGGUAAAUUUCAUCUAAAGCUAAAUAUUGGCGAGAGACCGAUAGCGAACAAGUACCGUGAGGGAAAGAUGAAAAGAACUUUGAAAAGAGAGUUAAACAGUACGUGAAAUUGUCAAAAGGGAAGCGUUUGACACCAGUGUUGUUUUCUCGAAAAAUCAAUUACGAAUGGCUUGAUUUUGUGUUGUAUUGACCUUAUCAGCUUUCUUCACUUUUUUCGAGUCUUUCUUAAUGCACUUUUCGGUUAACAAGUCAACAUCAAUUUCUUUUGUUGUAAAAGAGUAUUCGGAAGGUGGCUUUCUUUUCGGAGAAAGUGUUUAUAGCCCUAUACUUCUACAAUCGGAGAGAUUGAGGUCUGCAGCGUAGAUCCUUCGGGGUUAGAUACACUUUGUGCUAAGUUGUAGCUUUUCAUAGACAACUUGUUGACUAUGUUUAGUCAUGCGGCUUACUCGCUUAGUGCUAUUUUACCUACGCUUAGGAUGUUGACUGAUAUGUAGUCGUA